rnacentral:rRNA from 1 species
UGCAGUCGAACGAUGAAGCCCUUCGGGGUGGAUUAGUGGCGAACGGGUGAGUAACACGUGGGCAAUCUGCCCUGCACUCUGGGACAAGCCCUGGAAACGGGGUCUAAUACCGGAUAACACUCUCCACCGCAUGGUGGGGGGUUGAAAGCUCCGGCGGUGCAGGAUGAGCCCGCGGCCUAUCAGCUUGUUGGUGAGGUAGUGGCUCACCAAGGCGACGACGGGUAGCCGGCCUGAGAGGGCGACCGGCCACACUGGGACUGAGACACGGCCCAGACUCCUACGGGAGGCAGCAGUGGGGAAUAUUGCACAAUGGGCGAAAGCCUGAUGCAGCGACGCCGCGUGAGGGAUGACGGCCUUCGGGUUGUAAACCUCUUUCAGCAGGGAAGAAGCGAAAGUGACGGUACCUGCAGAAGAAGCGCCGGCUAACUACGUGCCAGCAGCCGCGGUAAUACGUAGGGCGCAAGCGUUGUCCGGAAUUAUUGGGCGUAAAGAGCUCGUAGGCGGCUUGUCACGUCGGUUGUGAAAGCCCGGGGCUUAACCCCGGGUCUGCAGUCGAUACGGGCAGGCUAGAGUUCGGUAGGGGAGAUCGGAAUUCCUGGGUGUAGCGGUGAAAUGCGCAGAUAUCAGGAGGAAC